AAGGGAGGGAGGCAGAAAGGAAGGAAGGAAGGAAGGAAGGAAGGAGUAAACAACCAAUGUACAACUGCAGCUUGGAGAGCAAGGAGUGAAAAGCAGCCCUGCAGACCCCAAGGGAGAGGCUGCACAGCUGGCUUCUGUGAUCAGAGCCCAGCAGCUGUCCCACAUCAGAUCAGAGCCAGCUCCUAAAAGGACUCACUGCUGGCCAGAGCUGGGCUACGAGUGAUGCUGGUUGAGCCUCUGGGAGAGCAGAUUGAAGAAAGGGGAAAAAAACAGCAGCUGGGAGAGAACAGUGAGAAAUACAAGAGUCAGCCCUGCAGCCCCCUAAGGAACUCCAGUUGUACAAUGACACUCUGGUACUGCUGUGGAGAGAGCCUUUAACUUAAGUUUAUUUCAAGUAUCCCCUUAAAACAGUGACAGGAAAAUCAUCAUCUUCCAAAAAUGAAGACUCUUUUCCCCUACUGAGAGACAGCUCAACAAUGUUCUUUGAAUGGAUUCCAUUACUAGAACAAUUUUCCUUUAAAGGAGCAAAAGUUUUUGUUUUUGCCUGGAUUCUGGCCUAAAUCAAAUAGUUUUAGCUAUUCUUCAGAAAGUCAUGCCUAACAGAUGUUCUCUGUAGCUUCCUGCAAAUUCUGGAUUGAAUCACACAGUUAUAUUCUGGAUAGUGCAAAUGGAUUCUUCAUUUUGAUCUUUUUUUUUAAAAUUAUUUUUUAUUUUAUUUUUUUUAGUUAGUGUUUUUUAAGUCAAUAUUCAUAGCGUGCAUUCACAUUAAAGAAAAACCCUGUUCUAUGAAGGGCCCUUUUUCUGUUCGUACUCAAGUUACUUUUAAGAAGAAUUUUGUAUACCUGUAGUUCACCAUGAAAAAGUUUCCAGUCUUGCAUUUACCACUUCUCUUGUUCCCUAAAUCAUGCUUCUGACAGAUCAGUGUAGUUAUGUUUUUCACUUUCUCAGU